UUACACCAAGAUCUGAUGGGUGAGCUAUGGUCAAAACAGUUGAAUAUCACCAUUCCAAACAAAACUCACCAAGUCAUUCUGUCAUAGUCUCUUUUCUCCUUUCCAUUAACCUACUCUUCUUGUUACUUUGAAGACCUUCUCUAAGAGCAGCACAUUCUGUCCCUGCUCUUCUAGUUACUCUGAAGGAUCUUCCUCUUCACAAAAAUUUCAAUCCACAUUACAUCAGUCUCUUGCAGAAAAUUUCCACAUAGGCUGCCUCUUAU
rnacentral:lncRNA from 1 species